rnacentral:rRNA from 1 species
ACGCACGCUGGCGGCAUGCCUAACCCCUGCCAGUCGAACGAGACCUUCGGGUCUAGUGGCGCACGGGUGCGUAACGCGUGGGAACCUGCCCUUAGGUUCGGAAUAACUCCCCGAAAGGGGUGCUAAUACCGGAUAAUGUCUUCGGACCAAAGAUUUAUCGCCUUUGGAUGGGCCCGCGUUGGAUUAGCUAGUUGGUAGGGUAAAAGCCUACCAAGGCGACGAUCCAUAGCUGGUCUGAGAGGAUGAUCAGCCACACUGGGACUGAGACACGGCCCAGACUCCUACGGGAGGCAGCAGUGGGGAAUAUUGGACAAUGGGCGAAAGCCUGAUCCAGCAAUGCCGCGUGAGUGAUGAAGGCCUUAGGGUUGUAAAGCUCUUUUACCCGGGAUGAUAAUGACAGUACCGGGAGAAUAAGCUCCGGCUAACUCCGUG